CGGCUUCGUACGUUUGGAACAAUAGCCGCUUUCCACAAGCAGCUGCAGUUGGGGAGGCAACACGCACGUGCAAUUGAAUGCGCGCGGCCCACACAACCGCAGGAAGAAAGCGAAAACAGUGUAAAACACUUUCUUUGAUACUCGAAAAUACAUACCGUGACCUGCCAGGUCAGAAAUGUGUUCACUUGUUUGUUUGUUUUUUUGUGUUUUUGUGGGAAGGGGGCUUGGGUUUCUUCCUGAAAAGCUAGCGACUAUUUCAACCUGCACGUUUAAACUGCAUAAGCAUAGCAGUUGGAGAAAUAACAAAAACAAACGUUUAGGAAAUAAAUUUCACCGUCCUAAAUGAGAUUUUUUUAACCACUUUGCUCUGGAAUGCAGAUACCUUUUUCAUGUCUCUGAAAACUGAACAUUCCUUUAAAAGUAUUUUAUUUCCGAAAGCCCCUUGUAAUAGCCUAGCCUAGCCUACGGUGUAUUUCAAUUACAUUGGAUUAUCUGCCACCUUUACCCGGUGGUCCUUUGCACUGUCAGUCUGUACUCGGUAAUGAUGUUACCAAUAAAGUAAUUCACCCUGCCUGGAAAGAGGACGCCGCAGCAGCGCAAACGAUAAAAGCAGCCGCACACGGCGCCUGGCUCAACGACUUUAGUGCCUACCCAACAGCAGAAAGAAGAAACGUCCCGUAAAUGGAGAAAUGCGUUUCAGGACUACAAGUCCAAUGCUAAAACGGCAUCUUCAGUGCGAGACGGUUAUGUACAGGCAGGGACUCAGGUGAGGGAGGACAAACUAAACCAAGAGAGACAAAAAAAGAGAGACAUCAAAAUGCCACCACCUUCCCAAGGUUUUGUCUACAGGUGGAGAGUGUUUGUUUGACAAUUUACAAACAUGUACAUCCAAGGUAACUGGCAAUUGCAUUAAAAAGGACUGAGGAUAACACAAUAAAGUAAAAGACUUUUUCCAUUUCCAUUGAGGUACUUUUACUGGAAA